rnacentral:rRNA from 1 species
GGGGAAUAUUGCGCAAUGGGGGCAACCCUGACGCAGCAACGCCGCGUGCAGGAAGAAGGUCUUCGGAUUGUAAACUGUUGUCGCAAGGGAAGAAGACAGUGACGGUACCUUGUGAGAAAGUCACGGCUAACUACGUGCCAGCAGCCGCGGUAAUACGUAGGUGACAAGCGUUGUCCGGAUUUACUGGGUGUAAAGGGCGCGUAGGCGGACUGUCAAGUCAGUCGUGAAAUACCGGGGCUUAACCCCGGGGCUGCGAUUGAAACUGACAGCCUUGAGUAUCGGAGAGGAAAGCGGAAUUCCUAGUGUAGCGGUGAAAUGCGUAGAUAUUAGGAGGAACACCAGUGGCGAAGGCGGCUUUCUGGACGACAACUGACGCUGAGGCGCGAAAGUGUGGGGAGCAAACAGGAUUAGAUACCCUGGUAGUCCACACCGUAAACGAUGGAUACUAGGUGUAGGAGGUAUCGACCCCUUCUGUGCCGCAGUUAACACAAUAAGUAUCCCACCUGGGGAGUACGACCGCAAGGUUGAAACUCAAAGGAAUUGACGGGGGCCCGCACAAGCAGUGGAGUAUGUGGUUUAAUUCGAAGCAACGCGAAGAACCUUACCUGGGCUUGACAUCCCUGGAAUCGAGUAGAGAUACUUGAGUGCCUUCGGGAAUCAGGUGACAGGUGGUGCAUGGUUGUCGUCAGCUCGUGUCGUGAGAUGUUGGGUUAAGUCCCGCAACGAGCGCAACCCCUAUUGUCAGUUGCCAUCAUUAAGUUGGGCACUCUGGCGAGACUGCCGGUGACAAAUCGGAGGAAGGUGGGGACGACGUCAAAUCAUCAUGCCCCUUAUGCCCAGGGCUACACACGUACUACAAUGGCCGAUAACAAAGUGCAGCGAAACCGUGAGGUGGAGCGAAUCACAAAACUCGGUCUCAGUUCAGAUUGCAGGCUGCAACUCGCCUGCAUGAAGUUGGAAUUGCUAGUAAUCGCGGAUCAGCAUGCCGCGGUGAAUACGUUCUCG